rnacentral:rRNA from 1 species
CCUACGGGUGGCAGCAGUGAGGAAUAUUGGUCAAUGGACGAGAGUCUGAACCAGCCAAGUAGCGUGAAGGAUGACUGCCCUAUGGGUUGUAAACUUCUUUUAUAUGGGAAUAAAAUGUUCCACGUGUGGGAUUUUGUAUGUACCAUAUGAAUAAGGAUCGGCUAACUCCGUGCCAGCAGCCGCGGUAAUACGGAGGAUCCGAGCGUUAUCCGGAUUUAUUGGGUUUAAUGGGGGCGUAGGUGGAUUGUUAAGUCAGGUGUGAAAGUUUGCGGCUCAACCGUAAAAUUGCAGUUGAAACUGGCAGUCUUGAGUGCAGUAGAGGUAGGCGGAAUGCGUGGUGUAGCGGUGAAAUGCUUAGAUAUCACGAAGAACUCCGAUUGCGAAGGCAGCUUACUGGACUGCAACUGACACUGAGGCUCGAAAGUGUGGGUAUCAAACAGGAUUAGAUACCCGAGUAGUC